rnacentral:misc_RNA from 1 species
GAUGAAGAACGCAGCGAAAUGCGAUACGUAAUGUGAAUUGCAGAAUUCAGUGAAUCAUCGAAUCUUUGAACGCAUAUUGCGCUCUCUGGUAUUCCGGAGAGCAUGCUUGUUUGAGUAUCAGUAAACACCUCGACUCCCUUUUCUUUUUUGAAAUGGGAGCUGGACUUGAGUGAUCCCAACACUUUUCUCACUGGAAAGUGGCGGGUCACUUGAAAUGCAGGUGCAGCUGGACUUUUCUCUGAGCUAUAAGCAUAUCUAUUUAGUCUGCCUAAAAAACAGAUUAUUACCUUUGCUGCAGCUAACAUAAAGGAGAUGAGUUCUUGUGCUGACUGAUGCAGGAUUCACAGAGACAGCUUUGCGGCUGACUUUGUAAACUCGAUCUCAAAUCAAGUAAGACUACCCGCUGAACUUAAGCAUAUCAAUAAGCGGAGGA